rnacentral:lncRNA from 1 species
AACACAGAUAUAUAUAUCCAUGAACACAUAUCCAACACAUGUUACCAAUAGCCAUGAACACAUAUCCAACACAUGUUACCAAUAGUCAUGAACACAUAUAUAUCCAACACAUAUCCAUGAACACAUAUCCAACACAUAUUACAAGGAGACAAAGGAGAGAACCAAUACCAAAGAGCCAAAGGAGAGAACCAGCACCACACUUGCACCUGGUAUUUUUCUGCAAUUAGGGAACUGCACCCACAAGCACAGGGGGCUAGUACCAUUAUAAACUGCUAAAAAAAUCACUGAUGCAUCUUCACACAAAAAAAUCUAGCUACUUGUGAGCCUAGCCUAAUUAAAUGGCCAUCUCUUUUACUUCCAUGAUAGUGCCUGAAAUGUCAGAUAUACAAGAAAGGAAAUCAUUUACUUGUUAAUAUUCUAAAUGAAGAGCAGAACCUAGAAUAUUUUGCCUUUGCUAAAAUAAAUAAAUUGAGAACGAAGAUGAUAGUUUCAAGUGACAACUCACCAUUUCCCUUUGGUAGCACGCCAAGGAAUCACUCUCUUGACUGUGACCUCCCGAUCACAUUCAGUUCCGCUCCCUGCAGGCACAAGAAUUUUCUUUCUAUUCCAUUUCGCACCAUAUCUCAGCCAUCAUUCACCAUGCAUCUGGACAACUUCGGACCCAGCAAGGUUUUUUCUACAAAGAUCAAAGUGUUAAGUAUAAGUUGUUAGGAGAAAAAGUGAAUUUUAUGGCACGUGUACUCUUUUCCCACCACAUGUAAAUUUUAGGAGGAAAAGCCAGCUACAGCCAUCAACCACAAAAUACUAACCAAUAUCCACAAAUAUGAAAAUAUUGCAAUGAAUACAUGUUGCACGCCGCUGCAGCCUGCAUCACUUCAUUAAAAACAUCACCACUUUCAUAGUAGCAAGAUACAAGCACUUACGCUUAUUCUAAAUAUAGGCAACAAGCAUCCAACCAGCAGAAUGGUGAAAUGUCAGUUCAUCGAAAACUGUUUGUUUGUUCAACAAGGAGAAUAUAUCAAGGGAAAGGGUAAGGAUCUAGAUUUAUUUUCUUUUAUCUUGCAUGCCUGCUACAAGUGUGAAUCAAGCUAUACAUUGCAACUGAAAUAUGGAUUUACAUAAUGUAUAAUUGUAAGUGCAUAACAUCCAAAUGGACAGAACGGUAGCAUAGAUGGAUAUCUAAACUAAAAUAAGCAUGUUCAAGUCUUAUCAAAUAGAACAACCAUAGGAGCAUGAUCAUGUCCUAAUACCCAAUAUUAAAGCAUAGAGCAAUGAAUAGUAGAAUUUAAACAGGAAAUAUGGUUUUCCAAAACAUAAAUUCAGAUUUGUGCAGGUUGCCCAGACUAUAUGACCAGUUUAGGAAUUACUAUAAUCAAGGAAGGAGACCUUUUUCAAGAGCCAGCGUACUCGGAUAUCGUCCUUAUGAUUCAUCACAACAAACAAUUAACUUAACGCAAAAUUGUUAGCGAUGCAUAUAUUUUGCAUAUCAAUGCAAGGGAACAAAAACAAAACUCUGUGAUGGGGAUCAUGGAAGGUUCUUUGCUCAUAAUUUAUGAUCUGUUUAGGAUUUAUAAUCAAAGAAGGGACCUUUUUUAAGAGCCGCCUUGCUAUACUGACCUAGUGAUUCAUCACAGCAAACUAUUCAGUUAACAAAAGAUAUCAACUAAGCAUGAACUUUGGAAACUUCUGUGCAUCAUACACUAUAAUCACUCCUUAGGUGGUAGAAAGGGGAAGGAAUGAGAGGAGGGAUACCUCGGCCGGGACCUCGUCUACGACCUGCAGCUCAUUGGGAAGGGGUCAAAGCUGCUGCUGCAAGCUCCCACUCCGCUUAUUUGCCAUCCAAUGCAGAUCCAACACAUGAGAUUGUCCACGAGCAAAACAGCUCACACCUAUAGACUUAGCAAAAGCACGGUCAAGUAUGCAUGGUCAAAUAGCCGAAUGUUCUGCUGUAAGAUGAUGAUAUAAACCAACCAUCCAGCAAAACAUUUUCUUUCAUGUCACAG